rnacentral:rRNA from 1 species
UAGUCCACGCCGUAAACGAUGGAUACUAGCUGUCCGGGACUUUAAGUUCUGGGCGGCCAAGCGAAAGUGAUAAGUAUCCCACCUGGGGAGUACGUUCGCAAGAAUGAAACUCAAAGGAAUUGACGGGGCCCGCACAAGCGGUGGAGCAUGUGGUUUAAUUCGAUGAUACGCGAGGAACCUUACCAGGGCUUAAAUGUAAGUUGCAUUAGUUAGAGAUAGCUAUUUCUUCGGACCACUUACAAGGUGCUGCAUGGUUGUCGUCAGCUCGUGCCGUGAGGUGUCAGGUUAAGUCCUAUAACGAGCGCAACCCCUAUCGUUAGUUGCUAACAGGUUAAGCUGAGGACUCUAAUGAGACUGCCGGUGCAAACCGAGAGGAAGGUGGGGAUGACGUCAAAUCAUCACGGGCCCUUACGUCCUGGGGCUACACACGUGCUACAAUGGUAAAGACAGAGAGCAGCCAACUGGUGACAGUGAGCGAAUCUAUAAACUUUAUCGCAGUUCGGAUCGGGAGU